GGGUCUAGCAUGUUCAUUUUUAUUGUCAUUGGAAAGGAAGGAAAAUGCUUACAAAUGUACUUUCUAGGUCAACUUUAUCUCCUAAGGUCAAUUUUGGCCUCGCUGUGAAGAUGAGAAGUAAAGAUACCUCUAUCCAACGUUCAGUCUACUUUACCUACAGAAGGUCUUUCCAGAAAAUAAUCUUCUAGCCCCUGCCGGGUGGAUACCAUCCUAGCUACCCGUGAUCUGGGAACCAAGCCAGUGUGGAGUGAGGAGAAUCUCAACACUUGGAACCAAGCUAAGGAUGCAGUAUCUCCUAUCCCCAACUGGGUUCCUGGACAUCCUGGGUUCUAAUUUUAAUCUUUCCAGUACAAGUCCUGGUGACUAAGUCCCCAUGGUCCACACAUACAGCCGUGUUGGAAAUUAGCAUUGCAGAGCCACUCGAGACCAGGAAUCAAAACAAGAAUUUAGUUGAGAUGAAAGGUUACGACCUUUAUCAGGAAACUGUGUCCUGUCCUCACAAAGGAACAGCUGGGAUGAUCUACAGUAAGAGGUCUGUCUGGUAAUGAUAAUUAUUGAAUUACAGCUACCAGCAGCCAUGUAGAAUUCUGGCAGCACAGAUGAAGACCUACAGUUUGGGAGAGUCUCAGAUGCAUCAAUGUGUUCUGAUCUGCUGUCUCUAAUUACAGAGAAUCUGAUUUAUUCCACUUUCACACUUGUAGCUGACCACCCAGCCUUCUUGUGGAACUAAAAUUGCCCAGCUGUAACACCUGGAAAACUAUUUCUCUCCUCAGAAACCCUACAUUGUCUUAGUAGACCCACGUAUCCAAAUGAAAAAGCAACCUUAUAAAAUCAGCAGGAAGGAAGGCAGGUGACUGAGUUCUCAGUUCUUGUUGAUUGUUCUUGGAAAUCCCCUUUGCUCAUGGAAACCUUUUCUUUUACUCUUCCUUACCUGUGGGUUAAAAUCAUGCCCUUGGGAUCCGGGCAUCUGUUGGGCCCAACUGCCUUUCAUCCCUGUCUCCUCUUUCAUUUCCUUUUCUUUUCCUCCCAUACAGAAACACCCACAGCCAGGGAAGGUGUUCUUAUAGCCAUUGGAUUAUUAGGUCCCUGGUGGCAUCUCACACAAAUAUUGGGAUGGGAUAGAACCUUUUAACCUUGGUCCCUGCAAUUAAUCUAGACCACCUUCACUUCACAAAUCUGCUUCACCUUCUUUGUUCUCUGACUCUGGAGCCUUGAUUCCAGCUUCCCAGGCCUCCAUUCUCUGCUUUGGAUAUUUGUCUCUGUCUCAACCCACAGCCUUUUCCCAUUCAUACAUUCUGCCUCCAGCCCCCAGCACUGUGAUGGGGGAAGAAGAAAUACUUCCACACCCAGAAUCAGCCAGACUGCUUCUCCCCCAGCCACCAACAGAUCCUGGCCUAUAUUAGCAGUCAACUUGAAGGCUUAGCUAACUUUGUUACCAGUGGUUACAAAUGAGUUCCACUUCUCAGCUUCCAGGACGGUCCCCUUCCCAAUAGUGGCAGCUUCCCUUUUUGUUAUUUAUCAAACAAAGGAGCCCCUUUGUCUUUGUGUUAAAGAAAAACAAACUCCCAACCUGCUCCUCCAUGCAAGUCUUAGUUUAGGUUUUCUGCAAAACCAAACCUUAGAGAGACUUGGGUCUUGGGUCCAGGUGGCCUUCUUGGGAGGGAGCGGGAAGGGUAAGAGGAGAAAAAAGCCAGUGAGGGAUGUGUUAAUCCACUGGUUAUUGUUGUGGCCAACUGGGCUCACUCUUCCUGGGGACCCUUUGAGGAACUGGGAGAGAAUACCCUCCAGAGUUGUGCCUCUGCAGAACCAGAGACUAGGGCCUGUUCCAUCCCUCCAAUGGUUGAGGCUGCCCUGGGAGUACUAAUUGUCUGCAUGCUUGGGGCUGACUGCAUAAGGGCUAAGGAAACUACCAAAGCUGGAAACAAACCCUGCAGUGGAGAAGUUGAGGAACUCUACCAGUACUUGAGGUAGGCACUGCCAGUGUGUGUGGAGAAUGUCCACCCUGGCUGUAGCUGGAAUCCCAGAGGGUCUGGGGGAAUGUGAGCACAGAAAGCAUCAGCUAUCAUUUGUGAAUGGUAAUUGAAAGCUCUCCUCCUCAUCCCCUCAAAAAAACAAAAUAUAAAGAAAUGGAAAUAUCCCUAAGAUCUGACAUAACCUCUACAGCUGUUUCAAGUCCAAGAAGAGGGAAUACUCAAGAUAGCCGGCCUCCAUAGUCAGGUCAGGGCCAAUGCAACGGACCCUUUCACUGGAGUGUCUUGUCUCCCAAAGCCUGAGUGUUUAUAUGUAGAUGGAUUUGUUUCACUAGCAAAAGUCAGGUGAAAAAGAUGAUCACCCAGCCCUGUUGUCACUCUUCAUUAGAAUCUUUUAAGGAAGCUGACUCAGAGAUGUGUGGGGCUUGGGGAUAGAACCUUUCCCCCUCCCGUGCAGUCUGAGGCUUUGGGAACAUUGAAACGCAGGCUGCAAACUACUAACUAUGGGAUUACCAAAGCAUCAAGAUGAUUUCCAAACAGAUAGACAAUCAAGAUCAUGGAAGGGGAUAACCCAGGGGAUCUGGGACCCUUCUCAGAACGUGAUGAGGUAAGUUGGCCUUUUAAAUAAGGAUUAGGUAUACUCAUAGAUAUUACUCUUCAUGAUGGCUACCAUUUGUUGUACUCAGAAUAGGUACACAGACCUUUAUUUACAUUAGCCUAAUUUUUAAAAGUAUUUAUUUAUUUAUUUGAGAGAGAGAGAGAAAGAAAGAACAUGAACAGAGAGGAGGGGCAGAGGGAGAAGCAGACUCCCCACAGAGCAGAGAGCUUGACAAGGGGCUUAAUCCCAGGACCCCAGAAUCAUGACCAGACAUUUAACUGACGAGCCACCCAGGUGCCCCUACAUUAGCCUGCUUAAUACAUAACAGCAGAGUAGAUCUACUAUUGCCAGUUGGCAAAUAAGGCAAUCGUGGCUCACAGAGGUUAAAGACUCAGGGUUGCACAGCUUCAUAAGCAGCAGAUCUGGGAUUCUAAACUAGUUCAUGGGAAAAGAGAAAUAUGACUCCUGUUAUGAUUAUAUAUACACCUUUUUAUAGAUCCAGGAAGACUGGCAACCUAAGGGGCCAGCCUGCACCUCUAUAAAACAGAGUAGCAAAUGGUUCAGAGCUCAGACUUUAGAGUCCGAUGAUGUCUUUUCUUUUAAGAUCAUCAGGGAGUAGAAUUAGAUACAAAAUUAUCUCAUCUUCCUUACAGUCUGUGAUGAAAUAGUCUUAAAACUGUAUUUUUUUAGAUUUUAUUUAUUUAUGAGAGAGAGAGAGGCGCAGAGACACAGGCAGAGAGAGAAGCAGGCUCUUUGCAAGGAGCCCGAUGCGGGACUCGAUCCCGGAUCCUGGGAUCACGCCCUGGGCCGAAGGCAGACGCUCAACCGCUGAGCCACCCAGGCAUCCCCAAACUGUAUUUUUUUAAAUAACAGUAGGUUCUAUGUGCAUGAGUAUGUAUAGUCCUAGAUAUUUGUCAUGGGAACCUAAAUGUUUUCCAGAAAAAAGUAACACAUUUCUGAAACAAAAAUGAUACUUUGUAUCCUUCUACAAGACGCAUUUGUGUCCCAAUUACAGAAAUCUGCUUAUUCUUUGGGUCGCACAUUUAUAUUUGGCAGCAAAUUUCCGAAGUUGGCAUGAACAAGCUUCCUUGGGCAAGUGUGGAAGGAAGAGCUUGCGUGCACACCCAGCAGAAAUGAAACUGCUUGCUUGAUGCGUUUGCAGGUCUUCCUACAACAUGGAGAAACCAUUUGAAAAUCUAUACUUGCCUCUGGGUAGCUGCAAACUUUCUUUCUCAUUUUUCUUUUUUCUUGAAGCUCUAGAUAUGGAUUUCUCUUGUUCUUCAUCCAGGUUCCUCAUGAGUUAUCAGGAGAAAUUGCUCAUCAGCACUGCAGACAAGGAAUGAGCUGACACAUAGACUUCUGAGAUGAGAGGCCUAAGAAGAUUGGCAACUUCUGCUUCCUUUCUUGGAAUCCAGCCACCAUCCUGUGAGAAAACAAAGGCCAUACAGAGAAGCCAUAUGGAGAAGUUCUGGGCCAUAGUCGCAGAUGAGCCCCCAGCCUACGGCCUCGACUAUCUACUGGGGAAUUAGCCAUCUUGGCUCCUCCAGCCUCAGUCAAGCAGUCAGGUGAAUUACGUGGACCAGAGAACUGCCUGGCUGAGUUCCAGUCAUUUCAUAGAAGUAUGAGAAAGAAAAUGGUUAUUACCUUAAGCUAUUGAGUUUUGGCACUUGGUUUUACGGCCAUAGAUAACUGAAACCCUGGCCUUCUUUCUGUUUCUCAAACCCAGUUAGGUCAUUUCUCCAUCAGUACCAACCCACAUUCUCUGCCAGGAUCUUCACCUGGCUGGUCCUUCUCAUCAUUCAGUUUGGGCCACAGAACCUCAGUAGUAUGUUUGUUUGGUGUUUUGGAAAGCUACCCUUUCUUUAUGUUAGGCCAUGUGGCUGAUCACCACUACCCCCUCAUCCUACUCUCAUCUGGACUCUGGGAUCAACUUGUAAUGAAGGCCAAGCCAAUCAGUAAUCUUAUUCCUCUCCACCCCUGACACACCCAACCUUAUUUACUGACUAAAGGGUGGACAUGUGACCUAAGUCAGUUUAUUUUUUAUUUUUAUUUUUUAAAAGAUUUUAUUUAUUAAUUCAUGAGACAGAGAGAGGGAGAAGCAGACUCCAUGCAGGGAGCCCGAUGUGGGACUGGAUUCCUAGUCUCCAGGAUCUGGCCCCAGGCUGAAGGCGGCGCUAAACCCCUAAGCUACCGGGGUUGCCCCUAAGUCAGUUCAGAGUCAGUCCCAGGAAUUAUUGGUGAGGAGAGACUCUUGGGGUUGGGGUUGUUAAGCUGAUUGGCGUUGUUUUUUUUUUUUUUUUUAAUUUUUAUUUAUUUAUGAUAGUCACAUGGAGAGAGAGAGAGAGAGAGAGGCAGAGAC